GGCUGGUCCGAAGGUAGUGAGUUACCUCAGUUGGUUGUUCACAGUCACAGAUCCAACUCCAGGUUCUACUGUUUCACCUUCUACUUCUUUCACUGCACUUAACUAGACUUAA
ensembl:misc_RNA Y_RNA Y RNA